GUCAGGACUUCAGAGGCAACCCUGAGAUGCCAACUUAAUAUGCUUUCAUCAGAAAAGAAUUUCCUCAUCCUGCAUCGCAAAUUUUGAAGGAUUUACAAUAAAAGACAUGGUAGAUGAUCUCACCACUUUUGUCUACUAAGUCACAGAUUGGCAUAGUCACCAAGCUCUUAGCUCUGUCAUCUAUGAUAACCACAAUAAUCAGAUGUUACUAUCAUUAAGUUUGGCUCUCUGACUUUUUAUGCUUCCUAUGUGUUUUGCUGCAUUUUUAAUUGAUGUUAACCUCUGAAGCAUGGAAAGCUGAUUCCUUACAUUCAUCUCAUGUUAUGAAGGAUCUGUCUUGUCAUUAGUUCAUAAUACUGUUCUUGUGAUGUUGGAUGCUUGACAGACUAUAUACAUUGGGUGUCUUUUCAUUGACAUUAAAAGGUUGGUUGACACAAGUAUGUCAUCCUUUGUUUCAGGAACAUGAAAAGCCUAAAAAAUUCUGAAGUAAAUAUUACACUUAAACAUUCAUCUUUAUCUAUUGCUUUCAGUUUGUUUCAGUCUUUAAAUCAAGUCAAGAAGGGUAGCCACAGUUUUUGAUAGUAUAGUUAAUUUACAUGGUUAAUGCCAUCAUCUUCAAGACAGGUAAUAAUUUAAGCUUUCGAUGCCGCUGGUGUGAAGACAACAUAAGCUUGUGGUUUCAAUUCCUAUAUUAGCUGUUGGUGAGCACUCCUCUUCAAUCAUAUGAACAGUCUUCAUCCAUGUGUUAGUCUUUAUUGCCUCAUUGCACAUGAUCAUUAUUUUGAGCUGUUUGAAGCCAUCAAUUCUACUCAUUAUGAUUGGUUGGUCCUAUAUAUGAAAUGCCAUACUCUGACAAUUCCCUUACUAUUUAAAAUGAUGGAGACAACAUUUUAUUUGGUUCCUCAUAGACAUGAUUUAAUCUGUGUUUUUUGUUUGACCAGCUCUUUCUUUGUGGAUCUUUAAGUGCUUGGACGUCUGCCAUAAAGGUUUGUGAUUUGUCAAUUUGACUUCUAGGUUGUCUUAGUGGUGAUAGGUGAUGGCACUGACAUAUCUUAGGGCCUACAAGCACCAAUAAUACUGGACGAUUCAGCAAUAAAAAGUGAUGCUUAGGCUUCACCACACCUAUUUGGUGGCAAUCAGAUUAGGUCCAUGCAUAGAUUAAAAGUUUGAGAACUUAAUAAUAUGUCAAUGGAUAAUUCUGGACUUUUAGUUUUACUAAAUGAGCAGAAUCACGCCCUAAAAACACUGGCCAGUUUGAAAUAAGGUGAUGAUCAUCAUGUCACUUUGUUGAUUUCUUUGUCUCUGUAGCAACUUCAUUCACCAGCAUUUUGCAGGAUUAUACCUCAAUUUGAUUUCUAUCACACACUGCUCCCCAUCUUAACUGAUGAAUUGUGGCCAUUGUUCUUUCUAAAGAAAGUAGCACUUGAAUGAUGCAUGCAUCUAUGACAGACACCAUUUUCAUUUAAAAAACUGAGUGAAACUUGGAUCUCUUAGAUGGUUUGUGGGGGCACAAAAGUGGCACUGUCAAUCCAACAACAAGUAUUAUAUAUAAUUAGUAAAACUAUUCAAUGCAGAAUCCCCAAUGUUUUCUUCCUUGUUCUUACUAAGGUCAAUUGCCAUCAUAUGUUGGGACCCUUGCACAUCCCAUCAUUCAUGAAGGAAAUCCUACAGCACUCCGGUCUCCAUGCCAUUUGAAGAACCAACAGUAGGAUAGCCUGUGGAUUACUAGUAUGAAACAAAGGUAAGAAAAUCCAACUCAUAAGAAUGUUAUUCCUGCUUGAUAGGAAGAAGGGAGCGACAGGGGUAAAGAUGGGGCCAUUGCACUGAGAAUGAUCCAAAGUAAACUUUGAGGUAUGUCUGUCAUUCUUGAGCACUUUGCGUAUUAUUAGGACAAUGUGCUUUGGUACGGAAGGAGACAAAAUCCAAGAAAUUGGGGAAUUAGGUAUCAUCUUUCCUUUUCUAUUAAUGCCGAUGGACAUGACAGCUCUUGAGGACUAAGGCACUCCCAAAACUAAAUUGCUGAUGUACAGAUAUGAGCGUGCACAUGCUCAAUUUCUUGUAGGGAAACUGUGUCAAGAAUAAAGGUCGUAUAUGCAGAUGAUAAUUCUUCGACCAUAAUUUUGCUAGUAACAAAAAGAGGGAGAAGAGAAAGAAAUUGUUUAGUUCUGCUAUAUUGAAAAGUGAAAAAGGUACAAAGAUUCUACACCACAUUGCUCUUCUUCUUUUGCUGCAAUCUUCCAGUCUUUGGAAGGUGGUAUUCUUAAUCAUGCAUCAGUUGCUAUCCCAGUUGCUUUCAUAUUUUCAGAGAAACACUUUGGUGACCUCAUUUCAUGAUCUUAGGACUCAUCCAUUGAGAGUAAAAGCUCCUUUUGGCAGUACUCCCUACUAAUUGAUGGACUACUUGUAGAAACAAUGUGGACCACCUUCUAAUGUUGGCUUAUUCACCCUUCAAGACAAAGAGAUAAGGUCUGGGGCUCACAGCCUUGUGUAGUGAUCAUAGUAGGACAACAUUAUCUUUGCUACAUUGGUCUUCCUUGAUACCCAAGCAGGACAUGCCAAUAUGCUACUUCACUGUCCCUUAGCUGUAACCAAAUUGAUGUUUCACUAGUAUCCUCAUAGACUACCACCAUCAUCACCCCUUGCACGAUUAAAUUGAUGUUUCACAGAUAUUCCAUGGCUGGCUGUAGUGAUAAGGUCUGUGAUUCACAAUGUUUUUUUAUUUAGGAAAUGUUUUCUUAUUCUCUUGAUACACUUGCACUCACUAGGAAACAUCGGCAAAGGCAAGGUCAGCUUCAUUGGAUCACUAGCAUGGAAUAUUUGCUGCAAACAAGUGCAAGUAUAAAAUGAAGAUACUCUUAGUUUGAUGCUUAAUGAUGGAUACAAUGUAUGGAAUAUUUGCUGCUAUAGGUGGGUUCACAGAUUGACAUUAUUUUAGUGCUAGUCAAAGCCACCACAUAUUUUUCUCUUUUGUCAAAACAUUGAUCUCAUCUUUGUUAUUGGCAAAGCCAACCUUGACUUGACUAAACAAGCAAACCAAAUCUAUAUUGAACUAUUGUGCCCAGGAAUUACUUUAUAUUUGCUUGUGUACUUCUCUUCAAAGAUCUGUGACUAACAACUAUUAUACUACAGUUGAUGUUGGUGAUUCACUAAACUUGAGUGGUAGAAGAAGCAUCAUGUACUGUUGCUGUUCAUGGACUCUGCGUCAAAUGUGCCUCCUUGUUCGAUGAAGAACACGAAUCCUCGGGCAUAUCAUUGGAACUGUAUUUUUCAUCUGUUGUGCCUCUGAUGGAUCAUCAACUGCAACAUUGAAACAAUGGUGUUUUGUUUGGCCUCUAUUCAUUAGCAGUGAAAAUUGGAUGAGAUGUCUUUGAUCAUUCAUCAACUGCUGAGAAACUGUUUAAGAUGAGAACACAUCGUCAA